AUGUGGCAGUUUUCCAUCCUGUAUCUCUGUGUGCUCAUGGCUUCUGUGAUUACAGACUCCACAGUAACGUUGCUGGAGCAGAAGCCAAGGUGGCGUCUGGUACCACUUGGUCAAACUGUGACCCUGCGCUGUAUCUUGAAGAAUUCCCAGUACCCCUGGAUGAGCUGGUACCAGCAGGAUCUUCAACAGCAACUACAAUGGCUGGUCACUCUGGGGAAUUCUGGGGAAAAGGAGGUCAAAUCUCUCCCUGGUGCUGAUUACCUGGCCACACGAGUCACUGAUACAGAGCUGAGGCUACAAGUGGCUAACAUGACCCAGGGCAGAACCUUGUACUGCACCUGCAGUGAUAGACAGGGGAGGAGAUUAUUUUUCGGUCAUGGGACCAAGCUGUCUGUCCUGGAGGACCUGAGCAAGGUGAGCCCACCCAAGGUCACCUUGUUUGAGCCAUCAGAAGCAGAGAUCAUUGACAAACACAUGGCUACCCUCGUGUGCCUGGCCAGGGGCUUCUACCCUGACCAUGUGGAACUGAGCUGGUGGGUGAAUGGAAAGGAGCUCCGCAGUGGAGUCAGCACAGACCCUCAGCCCUACAAGGAGACCAAUAACAUCACCUACUGCCUGAGCAGCCGCCUAAGGGUCUCUGCAAACUUCUGGCACAAUCCUCGCAACCACUUCCGCUGCCAAGUCCAGUUCUAUGGGCUUACAGAUGAAGAUCAGUGGGACAAUGACUCACCCAAGCCUGUCACCCAGAACAUCAGUGCAGAUGCCUGGGGCCGAGCAGAUUGUGGCAUUACCUCAGUAUCCUACCAACAAGGGGUCCUGUCGGCUACUGUCCUUUAUGAGAUCCUGCUGGGGAAAGCCACCCUGUACGCAGUGCUUAUCAGUACCCUAGUGCUGAUGGCCACGGUUAAAAGAAAGCAUUCCUGAGGCCAGACCUGGAGAGCCCAGAGCUUCCAAAGCAUUCUGUGAACUCGGAUUCUCUUUUUCCAGCACUUCUGAAGAGCUGUUCUCACUUGUCUGUGCAUCCUAAAGUCUGCCUACUGGUCAUAUGUGCUUACACAUGCUCAUCUGAAAUCCCUGUGGCCUGGAGAAUGCCUAGCUAGCACACU